GGAGGGCUAGCGAAGUGGCCAAACGCGGGAGACUGUAAAUCUCUUCCUUCCAGGUUCGGUGGUUCGAAUCCAUCGCCCUCCACCA
rnacentral:tRNA from 2 species